UACGUAGGGUGCAAGCGUUAAUCGGAAUUACUGGGCGUAAAGCGGGCGCAGGCGGUUUUGUAAGUCUGUCGUGAAAUCCCCGGGCUUAACCUGGGAAUGGCGAUGGAGACUGCAAGGCUAGAGUUUGGCAGAGGGGGGUAGAAUUCCACGUGUAGCAGUGAAAUGCGUAGAUAUGUGGAGGAACACCGAUGGCGAAGGCAGCCCCCUGGGUCAAAACUGACGCUCAUGCACGAAAGCGUGGGGAGCAAACAGG
rnacentral:rRNA from 1 species